GCACUGCUAACCAGUCUCAAACAGGACGAAACAGCUGUCCAGUGU
rnacentral:hammerhead_ribozyme from 1 species